CCUUUCUUGUGAGUUCUUUCCACUUGUUUUGGAAGCGAAAAAAAAUUUCCCGACUCAUUUGAUAGAUCUGCUGAUGGAAUUGCUUUGAUUGACCUCCAUUUAGCAACUAGGAUAUCUAACAUAAUCUUUUCUCCCAAAGACUUCUCAAUUUCUCAAUACCUUUAUUCUAGCUUGUCCACAACCUUCCUUGAUUUCAGGUGAAUCUGCACUUAUUUAUAAAAAAAGUCAAUUCAAAAUACUAUUUAACAUAUAUUAAUAUAGAUAUCAAAAUGCAAAAAAAUAGGGAGCAUAUAUAUUAGUAGUAAUUUCUAAAUGACAACUGAACUUUAUCAUUACAGCUUUAACAUAAGUGAAAGUUCACCGAUUCCUAGUAUAUCAACACAAAGUUUACAUCACAAACUAAUCUACGUGACAACUGUCUGUCCAUAUAUAAGUAACUACUAACUAUCAAAAUGUAAGGUAAACUAUGUCGGCUUUCUCACAUUAGAAUCAAACAUGCCGUGAAUUGAACGAGCAAUUACAUGUAGUUAUUAUUUAUAUCCUUAUUCAUUCAUUUCACUGACAAGAAAAAAGAAGAUAUUCAAAAAAUAAUCCAAGCAAUCCUUUAAAACAUCAUAGAAACAAGGCACCCACUUGUAUAACAAACAACUGUGAUUAGGCAAUAACACAUAUUAAGUAGCCAGAAGGUCCUUUUUAUCAAGAAGCUAGUAAACAAAUAGCUUGUGAAAAUCCAAGUCUUCUUUGAUGACUCAUUUAUACAUUCGCUAUUAAAAUGUUAUGCUUGUUAGUGGAUGAUAAUAUCCUACAAUAAAAAUAUGAUUGUCUAAAAAAGUACAACAUGAUCAAAUCACUGUUGCAUCGAUCUCCUUUCUUGUGAGUUCUUUUCACUUGUUUUGGAAGCGAAAGAAAAUUUCCCGACUCAUUUGAUAGAUUUGCUAUAGAUUUGCUGAUGGAAUUGCUUUGAUUGACCUCCAUUUAGCAACUAGGAUAUCUAACAUCAUCUUUUCUCCCAACGACUUCUCAAUUUCUCAAUACCUUUAUUCUAGCUUGUCCACAACCUUCCUUGAUUUCAGGUGAAUCUGCACUUAUUUAUAAAAAAAGUCAAUUCAAAAUACUAUUUAACAUAUAUAUUAAUAUAGAUAUCAAAAUGCAAAAAAUAGGGAGCAUAUAUAUUAGUAGUAAUUUCUAAAUUACAACUGAACUUUAUCAUUACAGCUUUAACAUAAGUGAAAGUUCA
rnacentral:lncRNA from 1 species